GAUGAACGCUGGCGGCGUGCCUAAUACAUGCAAGUCGAGCGAAUGGAUUAAGAGCUUGCUCUUAUGAAGUUAGCGGCGGACGGGUGAGUAACACGUGGGUAACCUGCCCAUAAGACUGGGAUAACUCCGGGAAACCGGGGCUAAUACCGGAUAACAUUUUGAACCGCAUGGUUCGAAAUUGAAAGGCGGCUUCGGCUGUCACUUAUGGAUGGACCCGCGUCGCAUUAGCUAGUUGGUGAGGUAACGGCUCACCAAGGCAACGAUGCGUAGCCGAGCUGGGAGGGUGAGCGGCCACACCGGGACUGAGACACGGCCCAGACGCCUACGGGAGGGAGCAGUAGGGAAUCUUCCGAAAUGGACGAAAGUCUGACGGAGCAACGCCGCGUGAGUGAUGAAGGCUUUCGGGUCGUAAAACUCUGUUGUUAGGGAAGAACAAGUGCUAGUUGAAUAAGCUGGCACCUUGACGGUACCUAACCAGAAAGCCACGGCUAACUACGUGCCAGCCGCCGCAGUAA
rnacentral:rRNA from 1 species